CAAUAGCGUAUAUUAAAGUUGUUGCGGUUAAAAAGCUCGUAGUUGGAUCUCGGCAGGCAGGGGGUGGUUCGCUCUUAGCGCUACUGCCCCAUUUGCCUGUGUGAUUGGCGGAGGUUUCGGGGUGCUCUUCGUUGAGUGACCCGGGGCGCCGUCAGGUUUACUUUGAAGAAAUUAGAGUGCUCAAAGCAGGCUUUUCACGCUUGAAUAUUCGUGCAUGGAAUAAUGGAAUAGGAACUCGUUUCUAUUUUGUUGGUUUUCGGAAAUCGAGUUAAUGAUUAAUAGGGACAAUUGGGGGCAUUAGUAUUCAGACGACAGAGGUGAAAUUCUUGGACCGUCUGAAGACUAACUACUGCGAAAGCAUUUGCCAAGAGUGUUUUCAUUAA
rnacentral:rRNA from 1 species